UACGUAGGGCGCAAGCGUUGUCCGGAAUUAUUGGGCGUAAAGAGCUCGUAGGCGGUCUGUCGCGUCUGCCGUGAAAACCCGAGGCUUAACCUCGUGGCUUGCGGUGGAUACGGGCAGACUAGAGGUAGGUAGGGGAGAAUGGAAUUCCCGGUGUAGCGGUGAAAUGCGCAGAUAUCGGGAGGAACACCGGUGGCGAAGGCGGUUCUCUGGGCCUUACCUGACGCUGAGGCGCGAAAGCGCGGGGAGCAAACAGG
rnacentral:rRNA from 1 species